UUGUUUGAUUCACGUUUCUGUUCAUCUUCUUCAAGCAAUUGAAGUGAAACGCCCCUCAAAGCCUCUCUCUCUCGAUCCUCUGCGUAUUCCAGAAGCUUCUGCUCCGCUGAUCGGCGCCGGAAUCCGCCGCUCACCUUGCCACAUCCAGUGCUCUUCGGAUCGUGAUGUUCUCGCGCGCUUGAGCUUCGAAUCCGUGUGCUCCAUCAAUAGACUCAAGUUUAUUGACUGACAAAUUUCAGGUGGCUUAAUGACUCCGUUAGCUAUGUUAGGUUAUCUGCAUCUUACAGGGAAGCUAGAGUCGAGAAAAGUAUUCCGUCAGUGUAUGCACUCAUCGUUCUCCUCCAGAGCUCGUUUGAGUCAUUUCUAAGGUGUUGAUGAUUUGCGUGGUUUGGAUUUUUGCACAAGUUCGAGGGUACUUGCAUAGGGUGGAAUCAUGUCUUGCAGAUGCUGAGUUCUUUUCCAGGGAAAUGUGUCUGUAUUUGGCAUUUACUAGUUCUUUAAUUGUUUCGAGGUUUUGAUCUUAAGAAGGAGCAAUUAGAGCAACUGGUGAUACAGUUGAUAUUGGAUCGAGUGUUGAAAGAAGAAUAUCAGCAUAUAGCUUAUGCUACAAAUGCUUACGUGACACUUGGACCAUUGACAAAGCAAGUUUUGCAAGAAGUAUCUCCUUGAGCAACGGGCAGUUCUAAAUGUGGAUGGAGGGAAGCUGCUGAAUGAAGACAGCGACCUUAGAUCUGUUCUUCAGUACCUAUUGGAUGAUGUGUCAAGCUUCUUAUCAACUCAUGCACGGAGACAUGACAAUGAAAAUUCCAUAACAUUGACCACUAUUCAUCAGUCAAAAGGCUUAGAGUGGGACAUUGUUUUCAUAGUGAAGCAAUGGACAAGACUAGAGAAGGGAAGUCCAAGCAUUUCAGAUGGUCAGGACCUAUGGAGCGUAUGUUUUUAGAGAUACUAGUUGAUGAGGCUUCCAAAGGGAACAAACCUUCAGCCACCUUUAAACCAUCUUCCUUUGUUCGAGUUGCUCAAGCUAUAAAUGAGAAAUUUGGGACUGAAUGUGAGCCUAAUCAUGUGGACAAUCAUCUUAGAACUAUUAAAAACAAUUGGACUACCAUCCAAAAAUUGUGGGUUAAGAGUGGAUUUCAGUGGGACCAUAACUUGAAGAUGAUCACAGUUGCUCGGAAGGAAGUUUAUGAUGAAGAAAUAACGCCACAUCCUACCCAUGAGAAGUACUUGAACAAGAAAAUCGAGAUGUAUGAUGAACUUGCUUUGGUGGCUGGAAGAGACAUGGCCACAGGAUGCUUUGCAAAACAAUUUGGAGACAUUGACUUACCUUCUUUUGGCAAUUCAGACUUCUCAACUGAACUGGAUGAUGGUAAUGACAAUACUAUGAAAGGAAUAGAAGAUCCUUCAAGAUUUAAUAGAAAGCGAAGUCGUGCCACUAACAAGGGUGAUAGGUUUGCAAUGCUCUCGGAGCAAAUUGGAGAGGUUGCUAAUGCAAUAAAAAAAGAUGAGUCAAAAUCAAUUGGAUGUUGCUGAGCUCUAUAAAGAAGUGAUGGAGGUUGAAGGUUUUGAUGAAGCUACCCUUGCACAUGUGUUUGAUUAUCUAGUAGAUAAUGAGAGAGUUGCAAAAGCAUUCAUUGUCAAAAGUGUUAAGCUGAAGAAGUUAUGGCUCGAAGAUUUCUUAAAUAGAAGAGAGAGUGGAUAUUGACAAGCAUCUGACUUUCAAUGUUUGUUCUUGAUACUGUCUAAACAUUAGACUUGUUCUUUGGUUACUUGUAGUAGCUAUUCAAGUAGCUAAGCAUUAGACUUUGAAUGUUUGUUCUUGAUAUUGUCCGAACAUUGGAACUUUGGUAACUUGUAGAAGCUAUCCAAGUCGCUUUUUGUGGCACAAUGUUCUUUGAUUACUUGC